rnacentral:rRNA from 1 species
UAAACGACUCUCGGCAACGGAUAUCUCGGCUCACGCAUCGAUGAAGAACGUAGCAMAAUGCGAUACUUGGUGUGAAUUGCAGAAUCCCGUGAACCAUCGAGUUUUUGAACGCAAGUUGCGCCCGAAGCCUUCUGGUUGAGGGCACGUCUGCCUGGGCGUCACGC